rnacentral:rRNA from 1 species
GUCGAGCGAUGAAGCACCUUCGGGUGUGAAUUAGCGGCGAACGGGUGAGGAACACGUGAAGAAUCUGCCUUCAACUCUGGGAUAACUCCGGGAAACCGGGGCUAAUACCGGAUAUGAGCCUUGAUCGCAUGAUCGGGGCUGGAAAGUUUUUCGGUUGAAGAUGACUUCGCGGCCUAUCAGCUUGUUGGUGAGGUAAUGGCUCACCAAGGCGACGACGGGUAGCCGGCCUGAGAGGGCGACCGGCCACACUGGGACUGAGACACGGCCCAGACUCCUACGGGAGGCAGCAGUGGGGAAUAUUGGGCAAUGGAGGAAACUCUGACCCAGCGACGCCGCGUGAGGGAUGAAGGCCUUCGGGUUGUAAACCUCUUUCAGUAGGGAAGAAGCGAAAGUGACGGUACCUACAGAAGAAGCACCGGCUAACUAUGUGCCAGCAGCCGCGGUAAUACAUAGGGUGCAAGCGUUGUCCGGAAUUAUUGGGCGUAAAGAGCUCGUAGGUGGUUCGAUACGUCGGAUGUGAAAAUCAGGGGCUCAACCCCUGACCUGCAUCCGAUACGGUCGAGCUAGAGUUUGGUAGGGGAGACUGGAAUUCCUGGUGUAGCGGUGGAAUGCGCAGAUAUCA